GGACCCGUGGCUCAGUUGGUUAGAGCACCGGUCUUAUAAGCCGGGGGUCGCCGGUUCGAAGUGGCUUCGUGCCAUUGAAACUCCGGCCGGGUCCACCA
rnacentral:tRNA from 1 species